GAUCAUGGCUCAGGACGAACGCUGGCGGCGUGCUUAACACAUGCAAGUCGAACGUGAUUUUUGUGGAAAGCCCUUCGGGGGCGGAAGCGAAAUGAAAGUGGCGAACGGGUGAGUAACACGUGAGCAACCUACCUUACACAGGGGGAUAGCCGUUGGAAACGACGAUUAAUACCGCAUGAGACCACAAAGCCACAUGGCUUAGGGGUAAAAGAUUUAUCGGUGUAAGAUGGGCUCGCGUCUGAUUAGCUAGUUGG
rnacentral:rRNA from 1 species